rnacentral:rRNA from 1 species
AUUGAACGCUGGCGGCAUGCCUAACACAUGCAAGUCGAACGGGGGUAGGGGCAACUCUACUUCAGUGGCGGACGGGUGAGGAAUGCGUCGGAAUCUACCCUAUGGUGGGGGAUAACACAGGGAAACUUGUGCUAAUACCGCAUGAUGUCGAGAGACCAAAGCAGGGGACCGCAAGGCCUUGCGCGAUAGGAUGAGCCGACGCCCGAUUAGCUAGUUGGUAGGGUAAAGGCCUACCAAGGCGACGAUCGGUAGCUGGUCUGAGAGGAUGAUCAGCCACACUGGGACUGAGACACGGCCCAGACUCCUACGGGAGGCAGCAGUGGGGAAUAUUGGACAAUGGGCGCAAGCCUGAUCCAGCCAUGCCGCGUGUGUGAAGAAGGCCUGG